AACCUCCCCGCUCAAGUAGUCUGUGUCUGUUUCCUUCUUUGUGUUCAUAAGUUCUUAGCAUUUAGCUCCCACUUAUAAGUGAGAACAUGCAGCAUUUGGUUUUCUGUUCCUGUGUUAGUUCUCUAAGGAGGGUAGUCUUCAGCUAAAUCCAUGUAAGAACUUUCUUAAGUAAGUGAUCUUACUCAGGAAUCCUCUGCUCCUUUUCUCCAUAUAGACCUGGACAUUUUCAUUUUCCCUGCUUCAGGCUUUGAGUUCCUAAAUAAACUCUACAUGUUUAAUUUC
rnacentral:lncRNA from 1 species